UACGGAGGAUCCAAGCGUUAUCCGGAAUCAUUGGGUUUAAAGGGUCCGUAGGCGGUCUUAUAAGUCAGUGGUGAAAGUUUGCAGCUUAACUGUAAAAUUGCCAUUGAUACUGUAGGACUUGAAUUUUUGUGAAGUAACUAGAAUAUGUAGUGUAGCGGUGAAAUGCAUAGAUAUUACAUGGAAUACCAAUUGCGAAGGCAGGUUACUAACAAAUGAUUGACGCUGAUGGACGAAAGCGUGGGUAGCGAACAGG
rnacentral:rRNA from 2 species